CCUACGGGAGGCAGCAGUGGGGAAUCUUGCGCAAUGGGCGAAAGCCUGACGCAGCCAUGCCGCGUGAAUGAUGAAGGUCUUAGGAUUGUAAAAUUCUUUCACCGGGGACGAUAAUGACGGUACCCGGAGAAGAAGCCCCGGCUAACUUCGUGCCAGCAGCCGCGGUAAUACGAAGGGGGCUAGCGUUGCUCGGAAUUACUGGGCGUAAAGGGAGCGUAGGCGGAUAGUUUAGUCAGAGGUGAAAGCCCAGGGCUCAACCUUGGAAUUGCCCUUGAUACUGGCUAUCUUGAGUACGGAAGAGGUAUGUGGAACUCCGAGUGUAGAGGUGAAAUUCGUAGAUAUUCGGAAGAACACCAGUGGCGAAGGCGACAUACUGGUCCGUUACUGACGCUGAGGCUCGAAAGCGUGGGGAGCAAACAGGAUUAGAUACCCUGGUAGUCCACGCUGUAAACGAUGAGUGCUAGUUGUCGGCAUGCAUGCAUGUCGGUGACGCAGCUACGCAUAGCACUCCGCCGUCGGGAGGUACGGUCGCGAGAAUUAAAACUUAAAUAGUAAGUUAGUACGGCGUGAGACGUGCCGACGGACGACGACGAGGGAGGUUAGG
rnacentral:rRNA from 1 species